rnacentral:tRNA from 2 species
GGAAGCGUGCCCGAUAGAUUAGGGACUACUUUGAUAGAGUACUAUAAAGAGGCUAAAAUCCUCUCUCUUCC